rnacentral:rRNA from 1 species
AGUGAACGCUGGCGGUAGGCCUAACACAUGCAAGUCGAACGGCAGCACAGUAAGAGCUUGCUCUUACGGGUGGCGAGUGGCGGACGGGUGAGGAAUACAUCGGAAUCUACUUUUUCGUGGGGGAUAACGUAGGGAAACUUACGCUAAUACCGCAUACGACCUACGGGUGAAAGCAGGGGAUCUUCGGACCUUGCGCGAUUGAAUGAGCCGAUGUCGGAUUAGCUAGUUGGCGGGGUAAAGGCCCACCAAGGCGACGAUCCGUAGCUGGUCUGAGAGGAUGAUCAGCCACACUGGAACUGAGACACGGUCCAGACUCCUACGGGAGGCAGCAGUGGGGAAUAUUGGACAAUAGGCGCAAGCCUGAUCCAGCCAUACCGCGUGGGUGAAGAAGGCCUUCGGGUUGUAAAGCCCUUUUGUUGGGAAAGAAGAGCAGCAGGUUAAUACCCCGCUGUUCUGACGGUACCCAAAGAAUAAGCACCGGCUAACUUCGUG